GGCCCUAGGGCGCGGGAGGGAACGCACGCACGCGCACGCCGGCGCGGCGUUAGGGUGAUCAGGUUAGCGCGGCCUAACAAAAAGCACCCUCUUUACUGCGCUCCCUAGCCGUUCGCUGGGCUCGCUCGAGGGUGAGGAGCAAAGGCGCGCCUUAGGUGUUUAGCGCGGAUCGAAGACAGAGAGACGGAGUGGUUCACAUGGGUGCGUACGGCUGCUACCUGCGUCGUCCGUCUCUACGGUUGGGCGACCGGCCGAUGGCCUAGCCGUUUUGGGAGCCGUAGCCCAGGAAACCAUUCCACUUCUAGCGGCUCGUAUAUUAAUGCCCGGUGUUCCAACGUUAGUUCUAGGAGUUAGCGGCAUUCUAGUUCUCGUACCUCUACCUUCUCUUUCACUUUUCUCUCUAGUUCUAUGACUCUAAUAAAUACGUAGGAGUAUAGUAUGCCGAAAUACUCCAGUAUCUAUGGGGUCGCCUAUAAAUACAACAAUACCUCAUACAAUUUAGACCUCUCAAUAAACUAAUGUAACAACUCUUCCCUUCUAAUGUUCUCCUUCUUCGAGCAGCGAAAAAGGUCGUUUAAUAUAGACCACACCUUAUAACGGUAUCUUUAUACCACCAAGUGGCACUAGACUUCGGUCUCUUGGAAGACAACCUAAGCUUUACAUUACAAUUCUAACGUCUAAAACCGAAUUCAUUACAAUACGCACUGCCGGUGAAAGACUUCUGAUCAACACCAUCGGGUUUAAUACGUCGUGGACUCCACUAUAGUCCAUUUGACAUGCGACCGGGACUUCAACUACAAACCUCGACACCACAAUAAGACAUACGGGAAGAAACACCGUGAGAAGGUAAACUACUACUCUUGUAUGGUUUGGAAAAAUUCUUUUAUUUCCCCCCUUAUAUGUGGGAAGGAUCAGUGAACAGAGGAAAUCGUUCUCUAAACUAGGGUUCUUACGACCAACAACUAGGAUACUUCUCCUAAUGGUAUGCACUUUAGGCACUUGUAAGUACCAAGUUUCGAUCUGAAGGUGCGAUAAACCGACACGGAGGAGGUCUGUGACGUGUUGUUCAGUUUUUCGAACUGCUACUUUGAGACUUACUACAAUAGUUUUACCCUAAACUGUUUUUAGUCGAUUGACUUAGAGAAGUUUUCUCUAACGUUUUACUCCGCUGUCAACGUAUAAUAAAUGAGAACCUGUUAUUCGAAGCAUGUUGGUCACCAAUGGAACCUCGGCUCAUAGUUCUCAGUUACCUGAGUAGAAAGAGGGUUCAAAGUGGACUUUGUGGUUCAAGUCGUAGACUUCGAGCCGUCAUACCAAGAGGUCCCAAACCGAACUCCGUAGUAAAACGUCGACUCUCCUUUACCCGAGAACCAGAAGUCAGAGCUCGUGUAGGUGCUCUUUAGUAUUGACUUCACGAAUUUCGAGACGUUCUCGAUUUACAAACGACCUUCUUCUAACCCGUGAUAUUGUACUUCACGUCCACCUCAGGACCGAAACAACUCUGUUACUACGUAUUGUUGUUACCGAAGCCACACCUCAGACGAUAUUAACUUCGACUACCGGAGUCACUGUUUAGUUGGGUGUAGCACUUCAAACUUUAAGUCGAGAUGUUUUGUUCCCUACUCUUCAUAGAAGAGCUGAACGUUUCCCAGUCACCUGGUGUCGAGGAGAAAGACCUGGACACAAGACGGAAAGAUUGGGUCGACUCUCAGGAGACUAGGACUACUUCUACCACUGAAGGGUUGACGUUUCGGAGUGUCGAAGGACGCUUCACGCUUCAAUGUCAGUUCCACAUGUAUUGAUAGUAUUAGGGGGUCAUAUUAGAUGAGGACCCCAUACAUCUGCGAUCUCUUGGUGCGCCAAAAUAAAACUACCAAGUCCUGAAUAAAUGAUUUGGUCUCCACCGCCCGAUCUCCGUAGGGACAAGGAAGCAGGUGGACAGUGGUUACCACGAUAUACUGCGAACAUCGGGAUAGAUAUAAAUCGGCUUGUAAAAACCGAAACACUACAAGAAAUGAUCAUAUUACGGCCGGACUCUUAUUGGGUACGACAAUACUACUUUUGACACGACAACUGUACUUGACAAGUGGAACUAGACGUGAUCGGUAGAAUCGA
rnacentral:rRNA from 1 species